rnacentral:lncRNA from 1 species
AUUUCAAGUUGUACUAAAGAUUAUAUUUCUUUUUGAGAAAAAUGUAGCACGCUACCUAUUUCAUUCAUUAAGUAUUUAAAUUAAGCUACAAGUAGUGGGGCAGCAAAGGCCUCCAGGUGACACAAAGUCGACGAAAAGCAGAAGAAGGAAAAAAGAAAAAUACAAUAAAGACAAAAAAGACGGUCCGUCGUCAUAGUGGAGGAAGCAACAAACACCAACAUCACCCAACUUUACGACAAGUAGCCCAAUCUUUCAGAAGUGCUUCAAUACGGUGGCCAGUAGAGAUAAUAUUUGGAGGUAAGUUUCGAAAAAUAACAUUAUUUUUUUCGUGCCAGACCGUCCAUCACGUAGCCGCCACAAAUAAUUGAGCCUUUGCAGUACUACAGAUUAUAUUUGGUUUACUGCAAUUGUAUCCAAAUAUUAUAUUAUUGAAACUGCAGAUGAAGCUUCAUUUUGAUUGUAGUAUUGAUAUUUAUAGUAUUGAUAGAGGGAUUAAUAACUGACAAAAGCAAAUACGAAUUACCUAAACUAUGAAUCAUUUUGAUUCAACUGUUUGACCGUUCAACAUUUUGAUUUUACUAUUUAAUCUUUUAAUUUAUUUGAUUUGAGUGAGUCAACCGUACUUUGGCUUUACAAUUUAAAUGCAUCGUUUAUCUUUAAAGAUUUAAUUAGUAUAUAUUUUAUGCAAUUCUCAUAAUUAUAAAUUUAUUAAAAUAUAAAUAAUUAGUUUAAAUUUUAAAGUUAAAAUAUCGUUGACUAACUCCUAUUCAAAUAAAUUAAAAUAUUGUAUAGUAAAAUUAAACUUUUGAAAUAUUAGAUGGUUAAAUUAAAAUGGUCUAUAGUUUAUAUAGAUUAUGUA